rnacentral:rRNA from 1 species
ACACUCCUGCGGGAGGCAGCAGUGGGGAAUAUUGGACAAUGGGCGCAAGCCUGAUCCAGCCAUGCCGCGUGAGUGAUGAAGGCCCUAGGGUUGUAAAGCUCUUUCACCGGUGAAGAUAAUGACGGUAACCGGAGAAGAAGCCCCGGCUAACUUCGUGCCAGCAGCCGCGGUAAUACGAAGGGGGCUAGCGUUGUUCGGAUUUACUGGGCGUAAAGCGCACGUAGGCGGACUAUUAAGUCAGGGGUGAAAUCCCGGGGCUCAACCCCGGAACUGCCUUUGAUACUGGUAGUCUUGAGGUCGAGAGAGGUGAGUGGAAUUCCGAGUGUAGAGGUGAAAUUCGUAGAUAUUCGGAGGAACACCAGUGGCGAAGGCGGCUCACUGGCUCGAUACUGACGCUGAGGUGCGAAAGCGUGGGGAGCAAACAGGAUUAGAAACCCCAGUAGUCCCAUGA